rnacentral:lncRNA from 1 species
AAACAUACUGAAGAAUUCUCUGAAAUGACCAACAAUUCUGCUGUCAAACACCAGAAACUGAUGCUUGAUUAGCAAAGCUGCAGCCUGCUCAGUUCCCACAUUCAGCUGCUGCAUCCAGAACAAGGGAGCAAGCUGGCCCCAAAGCAGUG